AAUAGCCUAACGGCUGAACCAGCAACUUGGAAGAAUGUAUAGCUAAAGCUAUAUGUUUUUGUAAAAAAAACAUAUUUGAUUUAUUCGUAUAAAAUUCUAGAUAGAAUUAUGAUAAUGACAUUAUCUAUCUAUAAGUCUUGACCAACAUGCGUGCCAGCAGUCGCGGCAAGACGCUAAAGACUAGUGUUAUUCAUCUUUAAUAGGUUUAAAGGGUACCUAGACGGUAAAUUAAGCCUUAAUCAGGGACUGAUUUAACUAGAGUUUAAUGUAAGGGUGCAUUAACGUACUAUUGAGUGUAGAGAUGAAAUUCUGUUAUACCAGAUGAUUGGCACGGGUUUAGGCGAAAGCAUCACCUUAUGUAAUAACUGACGUUGAGGGACGAAGGCUUUGUAUAGCUAAAAGGAUUAGAUACCCAAGUAGUCUAAGCAGAAAAUGAUGAAUGUCAUAGGUUAAAUAUUAGAGAAUAUUUAAAAUAUAAAUGAAAGUGUAAGCAUUCCACCUCAAGAGUAAUAUGGCAACAUAGGAAUUGAAAUCAUUAGACCGUUUCUGAAACCAGUAGUGAAGUAUGUUGUUUAAUUAGAUGGUCCACAAAAAACCUUACCACAAUUUGAAUAUUAUACAAGCGUUGCACGGCUGUCUUCAGUUAAUGUCGUGAGAUUGUGGUUAGUUCCAUUAAAUUAACGUAAACCCUUACUUUAUUUUAUUUUAUAUAAAGUAGUUCGCCGUUAUAUUGGUUAUAUAAAAGGGAGUAAGACAAGUCAUCAUGGCCUUUAUAUUGU
rnacentral:rRNA from 1 species